rnacentral:rRNA from 1 species
GCGACGACGGGUAGCCGGCCUGAGAGGGUGACCGGCCACACUGGGACUGAGACACGGMCCAGACUCCUACGGGAGGCAGCAGUGGGGAAUAUUGCACAAUGGGCGCAAGCCUGAUGCAGCGACGCCGCGUGAGGGAUGACGGCCUUCGGGUUGUAAACCUCUUUCAGCAGGGAAGAAGCCACAAGUGACGGUACCUGCAGAAGAAGCGCCGGCUAACUACGUGCCAGCAGCCGCGGUAAUACGUAGGGCGCAAGCGUUGUCCGGAAUUAUUGGGCGUAAAGAGCUCGUAGGCGGUUUGUCGCGUCUGCUGUGAAAGCCCGGGGCUCAACCCCGGGUCUGCAGUGGGUACGGGCAGACUAGAGUGCAGUAGGGGAGACUGGAAUUCCUGGUGUAGCGGUGAAAUGCGCAGAUAUCAGGAGGAACACCGAUGGCGAAGGCAGGUCUCUGGGCUGUUACUGACGCUGAGGAGCGAAAGCAUGGGGAGCGAACAGGAUUAGAUACCCUGGUAGUCCAUGCCGUAAACGUUGGGCACUAGGUGUGGGGGACAUUCCACGUUCUCCGCGCCGUAGCUAACGCAUUAAGUGCCCCGCCUGGGGAGUACGGA